rnacentral:rRNA from 1 species
CCUACGGGUGGCAGCAGUGGGGAAUAUUGCACAAUGGGGGGAACCCUGAUGCAGCGACGCCGCGUGGGUGAGGAAGUACUUCGGUAUGUAAAGCCCUAUCAGCAGGGAAGAAAAUGACGGUACCUGACUAAGAAUCCCCGGCUAACUACGUUCCAGCAGCCGCGGGAAUACGUAGGGGGCAAGCGUUAUCCGGAGUUACUGGGUGUAAAGGGAGCGUAGACGGCGUGCCAAGUCUGAUGUGAAAGGCCUGGGUUCAACCCCGGGACUACAUUGGAAACUGGCAUGCUGGAGUGCAGGAGGGGCAAGCGGAAUUCCUAGUGUAGCGGUGAAAUGCGUAGAUAUUAGGAGGAACACCGGUGGCGAAGGCGGCUUGCUGGACGGUAACUGACGUUGAGGCUCGAAAGCGUGGGGAGCAAACAGGAUUAGAUACCCGAGUAGUC